AGAAUCAUUCAGAUUUUCUGGUACCUCAGUACUAGUUUUAGAAAAGUUGCCAUCACCAUCAGAUUCAGCGGAAUUAGGAGUAAUGCAACAAUCCAAAUCAACACCGCUAGAUCUAUGGAUUUCAGGUGACUCAGUUUUCCUUGGAGAACCCUCUUCUUUGGAUGCUGAAGGCAUUUCGGAAUCUUCAACAACAUUAACAGGAAAAAUUGGAACAGUUUUCAAAGAAUCCUUUGAUCUCAGUCCAACAAUAUUUUCAGUCAUCGUCAUGGCUCCAGGAGAAACCGAAGGUGAUAUCGAUGCCCCUUCCUGUUUGUUAGAAGCCUCAGCGAAAUCAGCGGUAGGAGCUGGUAACAUUUGCCCAGAACCAUCAUCCUGAGACUUUAGUGGUCGACUUUCUUUGUUUAUCUCAAGCAAAUCCUUCUCCACAAGGGUUUCCGAAUCAAUGGCGACAGUGCCUUGAGCUGAAGUAUCAUCAGACUGAUCAACAGGAGUAAUGCGACAAUCCAAAUCAACACCGCUAGAUCUAUGGAUUUCAGGUGACUCAGUUUUCUUUGGAGAACCUUGUUCAUUGGAUACUGAAUGCAUUUUGGAAUCUUCAACAACAUUAGCAGGAAAAACUGGAACAGAUUCCAAGGAAUCGUUUGAUCUCAGUCCAACCAUAUUUUCAAUCAUCGUCCUUGCUCCAGGAGAAACCGAAGGUGAUAUCGAUGCCCCUGCCUGUUUGUUAGAAGCCUCAGCGAUAUCAGCGUUAGGACCAGCAUCCUCAGACUCUAGUGGUCGACUUUCUUUAUUUAUCUCAAGUAAAUCCUUCUCCACAAGGUUUUCCGAAUCAAUGGGGAUAGUGCCUUGACCUGAAGUAUCAUCAGGCUGAUCAACAGGAGUAAGGCGACAAUCCAAAUCAACACCGCUAGAUCUAUGGAUUUCAGGUGACUCAGUUUUCUUUGGAGAACUCUGUUCAUUGGAUGCUGAAGGCAUUUCGGAAUCUUCAACAACAUUAACAGGAAAAAUUGGAACAGUUUCCAAAGAAUCCUUUGAUCUCAGUCCAACAAUAUUUUCAGUCAUCGUCAUGGCUCCAGGAGAAACCGAAGGUGAUAUCGAUGCCCCUUCCUGUUUGUUAGAAGCCUCAGCGAAAUCAGCGGUAGGAGCUGGUAACAUUUGCCCAGAACCAUCAUCCUGAGACUUUAGUGGUCGACUUUCUUUGUUUAUCUCAAGCAAAUCCUUCUCCACAAGGGUUUCCGAAUCAAUGGCGACAGUGCCUUGAGCUGAAGUAUCAUCAAUCUGAUCAACAGGAGUAAUGCGAGAAUCCAAAUCAACACCGCUAGAUCUACGGAUUUCAG
rnacentral:lncRNA from 1 species